UCCUACGGGGGGCAGCAGUGGGGGAUAUUGGACAAUGGGGGAAACCCUGAUCCAGCGAUGCCGCGUGAGGGAAGAAGGUUUUCGGAUUGUAAACCUCUGUGGCGGGGGACGAUAAUGACGGUACCCCUUUAGGAAGCCCCGGCUAACUACGUGCCAGCAGCCGCGGUAAUACGUAGGGGGCAAGCGUUAUCCGGAUUUACUGGGUGUAAAGGGAGCGUAGACGGCAUUGCAAGUCUGAUGUGAAAGAUUGGGGCUCAACCCCAGGCCUGCAUUGGAAACUGUAAAGCUGGAGUACAGGAGAGGUA
rnacentral:rRNA from 1 species